rnacentral:rRNA from 1 species
UACGUAGGUGGCGAGCGUUGUCCGGAAUUAUUGGGCGUAAAGGGAGCGCAGGCGGAAGGUCAAGUCCAUCUUAAAAGUGCGGGGCUCAACCCCGUGAUGGGAUGGAAACUGAUCUCCUUGAGUACCGGAGAGGAAAGCGGAAUUCCCAGUGUAGCGGUGAAAUGCGUAGAUAUUGGGAGGAACACCAGUGGCGAAGGCGGCUUUCUGGACGGCAACUGACGCUGAGGCUCGAAAGCCAGGGGAGCGAACG